AUUUAUAUAGUUUAUUAAUUAAAACAUUACAUUUUCAUUGUAAAAAUAAAGUAUUAUCUUUUAUAAAUA
rnacentral:tRNA from 1 species